AGCAGCCGCGGUAAUUCCAGCUCCAAUAGCGUAUAUUAAAGUUGUUGCAGUUAAAAGCUCGUAGUUGAAUUUCGGGGUUCUACCGUUGGUCGGGCUUUGUCUGUACUGGCGUGUAGAAUUUCUACCUUCUGGGGAACUAUCAUGUUAUUAAUUUAGCGUGGUAGGAAACCAGGACCUUUACCUUGAAAAAUUAGAGUGUUCAAAGCAGGCUUAUGUCUGAAUACAUUAGCAUGGAAUAAUAAAAUAGGACGGUGGUCCUGUUUUGUUGGUUUCUGAUCACCGUAAUGAUUAAUAGGGAUAGUUGGGGCAUUAGUAUUCAAUUGUCAGAGGUGAAAUUCUUGGAUUUAUUGAAGACUAACUACUGCGAAAGCAUUUGCCAAGGAUGUUUUCAUUAAUCAAGAACGAAAGUUAGGGGAUCGAAGACGAUCAGAUACCGUCGUAGUCUUAACCAUAAACUAUGCCGACUAGGGAUCGGGACGAUGUUUAACUUUUC
rnacentral:rRNA from 1 species